rnacentral:rRNA from 1 species
CUGGCGGCGUGCUUCAUACAUGCAAGUCGAACGAGAAGCUGACUUCGGUCAGUGGAAAGUGGCGGACGGGUGAGUAAUAUGUAGAGAAUCUGCCCUUGAGUGGGGGACGAACAGAGGGAAACUUCUGCUAAUACCCCAUAUGAGCUAACUUGAAAUAGUUAUCUUGAAAACUCCGGUGCUCAAGGAUGAGUCUGCAUCUGAUUAGCUAGUUGGCGGUGUAAUGGACCACCAAGGCGACGAUCAGUAGCUGGUUUGAGAGGAUGAUCAGCCACAAUGGGACUGAGACACGGCCCAUACUCCUACGGGAGGCAGCAGUAGGGAAUUUUGCGCAAUGGGCGAAAGACCCUGACGCAGCAACGCCGCGUGAACGAUUAAGCCCUUCGGGGUGUAAAGUUCUGUCAGUAGGGACGAAUUUUGACGGUACCUACAGAGGAAGCACCGGCUAACUCCGUGCCAGCCGCUGC